GAGAGAGAGAAGAUAAGGGGUGGAAGAGAGAGAGAGAGAGGGAGAGGGGACAGGUCAGGUCGCAAAGCUGAGGCGGGUUAUGAAUGAGAGACAUCAGGGAGAGAGAAAAGGGGGAGAAGGGGUGUGUGGGUGACUGACUAAGUUGGUUUGGCUUCGGUUGGGGGGGCCUGGGAGCCGGUAUUUAUGUAUGUAUUUCUGGUCUCUCUCUCUGUGUGUGUGUGUGUGUGUGUGUGUGUGUGUGCGUUUAAAAGUAAGUUGACAAUAAUCAAAAAGUGAAGA